rnacentral:rRNA from 1 species
GUGGGGAAUAUUGGACAAUGGGCGAAAGCCUGAUCCAGCCAUGCCGCGUGUGUGAAGAAGGUCUUCGGAUUGUAAAGCACUUUAAGUUGGGAGGAAGGGCAGUAAGUUAAUACCUUGCUGUUUUGACGUUACCAACAGAAUAAGCACCGGCUAACUUCGUGCCAGCAGCCGCGGUAAUACGAAGGGUGCAAGCGUUAAUCGGAAUUACUGGGCGUAAAGCGUGCGUAGGUGGUUGUUCAAGUCUGUCGUGAAAGCCCUGGGCUCAACCUGGGAAUGGCGAUGGAAACUGGGCGACUAGAGUGCGGUAGAGGAUGGCGGAAUUCCCGGUGUAGCGGUGAAAUGCGUAGAUAUUGGGAGGAACAUCGGUAGCGAAAGCGGUCUUCUGGGACAUACCUGACGCUGAGGUACGAAAGCGUGGGGAGCAAACGGGAUUAGAUACCCCGGUAGUCC